rnacentral:lncRNA from 1 species
GAAUUGCCGUAGACAUCAAACUCCACGGAAAAGGCCACCACACCCCCCGAGCCAGAACCCGCAGCAGCCGCCCAGAAGGCCAAAGAGGGCUCCACAAAGGACAAGAAGUCAGUCCCUGAGAUGAACAAGCACAAGAGCAGCAAACAGGAAGCCAAAGAACCUGCCCAGUGUGUGGAGCCAGCCGCGCUGGAUUCGAACUCACUGCAGAAUGGGGACAAGUCCCAAAAGAGACCUGAGAAGCGACGGCAGUCCCUUGGGGGCUUCCUUAAGGGCCUGGGACCAAAGCGGAUGUUGGAUGCUCAAGUGCAAACAGACCCCGUAUCCAUCGGACCUGCUGGCAAAUCCAAGUAAACAAAUUAGAGCUCCCGCCAGGUUUUCCUACACCACAUUUUCUCCCUGCUCCAUCUCCCUCCCAAACACACUCUAUGUAUAUAUUUUUGUCUUCUCAUGGCCCUCAAAUGAAAUCCUGCCUACAAAUGAAGGCUGAGCUGUUGUAUACUGAGGUGCAUUAUUCACGUCUCUGGUCCAGUCUUCCUGGCGUAUAACUGUAAAGAUGCGUUAGCAGUUCAACUAGUCAGGUCAGGAGCAUUGAUGACUGCCAGGUAGGGGAAGGAGGAAGUAGAGGAAUGCACCCGUGUUAUGUCUAAAAAAAUGGCCAUGACAAGUAUGUUGCAGAAGAUAAAUGCCUGUGAGAAAAAAAAUUAAGCUUUGUAGCAAAUGCAUGCUACAAAAAAUCCUGUAAGCCUGGGGAAGGGAAGGAAAACCCAUUUGUUUAAGUAGCACUUCAAGGAAGGAGAACUCAGGCUGGCUCUGUGUUGGGUGGUUACCAGUGUCCUAGGAUGGAAUGUGUGGUUUUUGAAAAGGAAAGAAUAAGAGCUGGUUUUCAAACAGGGUCCUUGAAAGCUACUGAUGAGAGGGAAAUGGUUGACUGGAGAGGGAUUGAAAUGAUUUGGGAAGACAAUUGCUUCUGAAGCCCAGGAACAAGGGUGGGUGAGAGUUACAACUUCAAAAAAAGAAAAGAAAAGAAAUGAGGUUGCAAGUUUAUUUUGCAACACAAGGGGGCGCCAAGAACUCCAUUUUAUUCUGCAUCCUCUGUCUAACAAAGAUUGAGUGUCUGCAAACUUCCAUUAUUAAUGUCUCUCAGAUGGCUGGGGCUUGCUUCAUCUGUUCUGUCUGACACUUACCUCAAGUCUGUCUGUAAUUUCCUAAUGUUCUCAGGAUGUACUCAUAGAACCAUCCCCAUAACCCCAGUUAAUAAAAAUUUACAGAUUAUCCA